UCCACCUUCUCCCCUCGCUCCUCACUUCCCCCCACUCACGAACCCUAGCUUCUCUGUGCCGCCGCCGCUCGGUCCGGAUUUGGAGCUGACGUGCUCGCCUUGCCUCAGUUGGUUCCGGAUUUGGCCACACGCUCGCGUCCGUCGUCCGUCGUUUGCUCGGCCGUCGCCAUGAGAAAGGGAGGUGGAUAUGGUUUGUUCCUUCUUCGGAUUUGGCCGUGCUUGGUCCUGCUUUUCUGUUUCAGGUUCGUCGCUGCAGUUGUUGUGGUGUCUCUAGCUGUUAUUCAUUCCUAUUGACACGUUUCGCCUAGCUCUCAGGAUGUUUGCUGUGAGUUGUUCGUAUAUGCAUCUAUUGGAUGUGGUUGCCACCCGGUGUUCGUUGCCAUUCCAUUCGUACUUGAGAGAGAUAAUGGACGAUGGGGUCGUGCUCGGAGGAGUUGAGCUCGAAUUUGAUGUGCCCGGAAGUGAUUCCGGGAGCAUGAGGAGGUUUUUUUGGGCUCAAGAUGGUGUGGAUUUUCUCUCUCUUUACGAGAAGGCUGCUUUCCAGGCCAUUUGCUUCUUACAGAGUUUGUAUGGGUUUGUGAUUCUGGACUAUAAUUUUGAGUGUAUGUCGACUUACAGGGAGCUUGCUCGCUCUGCAGUUCUUUUAGCUGCAACGAUGGUUAGGUCUGCGGUGCCUGUUGGUUGUGCCGAUGCCCUUGCUGCUGUGAUUGACCAUGAUGUCCUUUUGCAGCGGCAGAUGUUGCACGCCAGAUUGGUCUCGACGGCGUGCAAUAUUUAGUUUUUAUUUAUAUUGUGUGAGUUGUUUCUAUUUCUUUUGUUUUCCAUUGCUCCUAAAAUGCACAUUGGAGUUGGUGUGGCUGUAUUCAGAUAAAUGAACUGCUCUUUAGACAUUAUUUGUAUUUGUUAUGUACCUACUUAAUCAUCGUUAUGUUCAUUGUUGCUACUUUAACCACCGUUUCCUAAUUGUCAUGCUGAGAUC